AACGAACGCUGGCGGCAGGCUUAACACAUGCAAGUCGAACGAGCUGGGGGCUUCGGUCUUCGAUGCUAGUGGCGCACGGGGGAGUGACACGUGUGAAUAUGCCCUUUAGUACGGAAUAACCAAUGGAAACUUUGGCUACUACCGCAUACGCCCUUCGGGUGAAGGAUUUAUUGGUAAAGGAUUAUCCAGCGUCUGAUUAGGUAGUUGGUGAGGUAAUGGCUCACCAAGCCGACGAUCAGUAGCUGGUCUGAGAGGAUGAUCAGUCACACUGGGACUGAGACACGGACCAGACUCCUACGGGAGGCAGCAGUGGGGAAUAUUGGACGAUGGGGGCAACCCUGAUCCAGCCAUGCCGCGUGAGUGAAGAAGGCCUUCGGGUUGUAAAGCUCUGUCGACGGGGACGAUGAUGACGGUACCCGUAUAAGAAGCCCCGGCAAACUUCGUG
rnacentral:rRNA from 1 species